GAGUUUGAUCCUGGCUCAGGAUGAACGCUGGCGGCGUGCCUAAUACAUGCAAGUCGAGCGAACAGAUAAGGAGCUUGCUCCUUUGACGUUAGCGGCGGACGGGUGAGUAACACGUGGGUAACCUACCUAUAAGACUGGAAUAACUCCGGGAAACCGGGGCUAAUGCCGGAUAAUAUUUAGAACCGCAUGGUUCUAAAGUGAAAGAUGGUUUUGCUAUCACUUAUAGAUGGACCCGCGCCGUAUUAGCUAGUUGGUGGGGUAAUGGCUUACCAAGGCAACGAUACGUAGCCGACCUGAGAGGGUGAUCGGCCACACUGGAACUGAGACACGGUCCAGACUCCUACGGGAGGCAGCAGUAAGGAAUCUUCCGCAAUGGGCGAAAGCCUGACGGAGCAACGCCGCGUGAGUGAUGAAGGUCUUCGGAUCGUAAAACUCUGUUAUUAGGGAAGAACAAAUGUGUAAGUAACUGUGCACGUCUUGACGGUACCUAAUCAGAAAGCCACGGC
rnacentral:rRNA from 1 species